rnacentral:rRNA from 1 species
UACGGAGGGGGCUAGCGUUGUUCGGAAUUACUGGGCGUAAAGCGCACGUAGGCGGGUUUGCAAGUCGGGGGUGAAAUCCCCGGGCUCAACCCCGGAACUGCCUUCUAGACUGGAAGCCUGGAGGUCAGGAGAGGGGAGUGGAAUUCCGAGUGUAGAGGUGAAAUUCGUAGAUAUUGGGAGGAACACCGGUGGCGAAGGCGGCGCGCUGGGCUGGUACUGACGCUGAGGUGCGAAAGCGUGGGGAGCAAACAGG